UGGGGAAUAUUGCACAAUGGACGAAAGUCUGAUGCAUCAACGCCGCGUGGAGGAUGACCCAUUUCGGUGCGUAAACUCCUUUUAUAUAGGAAGAUAAUGACGGUACUAUAUGAAUAAGCACCGGCUAACUCCGUGCCAGCAGCCGCGGUAAUGCGGAGGGUGCAAGCGUUACUCGGAAUCACUGGGCGUAAAGGAUGCGUAGGCUGGAAAUCAAGUCGAAAGUGAAAUCCAACGGCUCAACCGUUGAACUGCUUUCGAAACUGGUUACCUAGAAUAUGGGAGAGGUAGAUGGAAUUAGUGGUGUAGGUGUAAAAUCCGUAGAUAUCACUAGGAAUACCGAUUGUGAAGGCGAUCGACUGGAACAUUAUUGACGCUGAGGCAUGAAAGCGUGGGGAGCAAACA
rnacentral:rRNA from 1 species